GGAGAGGUGGCAGAGUGGUCGAAUGCGGCGGUCUUGAAACCCGUUGUCCUGGCAACAGGACCGGGGGUUCGAAUCCCUCCCUCUCCGCCA
rnacentral:tRNA from 1 species